rnacentral:Y_RNA from 1 species
GGCCUCCCAAAGUGCUGGGAUUACAGGCUUGAGCCACCGCGCCCGGCCAAGGUUGUAUUUUACAACGAAUUGAUCACAACCAGUUACAGAUUUCUUUGUUCCUUCCUCACUCCCACUGCUUCAUUUGACUAGCCUAAA